GCUGUGUCUCAGUGUUGAAGCGAACACCGUCAGACUGCCUCCGAUCGCACUGGAGGACUUUGCGCUCCCUCCUCUGGUUCUGAAGAGGUUCUGCAGCGACCCGAACUCCGUCAUCAACCCGUCGUCCAGCGGGGGAAACCUCUGGUGCCACGUGCUGCCCAGCAUGAAGAAAGGUCAGAUUACCUCCAUCAGUCGUCAGCUGCCCAAAGAUGGACCCUUUAAAACUUACAGAGACCUGCAGA